CGCGAGCCCAGGUCAGGCGGGG
rnacentral:rRNA from 1 species